CUUAUAGUACGUGUCGUGUCGCGCAAUCGUUUAAAAAUCUUUGCUAACACGUGGAAAAUUUUACCGGAAACAGUGAAUUUUCUCAAUUUCUCACAACUUCUUCGAUUGGAGGUUAACCAACAAUACAAACGGACCUUCCAACGUGCAGUGGGAUAGUGACGAAAUCAAAUUAUACAGGGGGAAUACAUUAGACAGAUCUGUAGCAACAGGGCGCUACUGUACAUCAAUCAUCAGACUAUCAAUAAUAAAAAAUAAUUAUAUUGACCACGUUUAAUUGUAUUUAAUGAAUUGAAUAAUUAAUCAUUCUUAUAAU